CAGCCCUCGCACACUCUGUCUUCUUCCUCCUCUCUCCCCCCCACCCAACGACCCGCCGGCAACCUCCUCUCGCCCAGCCACCGCCGGCGCCCCCCGCCCUCUCCUCCCCUCCGUAGUCUCCGCAUCCAACCUCCACAGCUUUCCCUCCCCGCGCCCGAAAGCCCACGUCCACGGCAACCAAUCUCUGGAUCCGCAUCGCAGGAUGCCGCUGGAUCCGGGAGCAGGGCGUCUCACCCUGAAGCCGCCGUUCGGGUCGAGCUCCGCGGCGGCGAAUGCCGGUGCUCCUCUGCUUCCUCGACAACCAAGGACGCAGGCCCUGGAUCCGUGCUCGCCUUCUUCCUCCACCAGCCUCGGUGCCCAACUCCCUUCACCCGCCGUCGCUGUCGCCAUCGUGGACUCCCAAGCAGUCGAGGAGCAUGAGGACCCGAGCUCGAGCGCGACCACGAUGCAACGCACAAGGUCCCUGUUUCCUGCACAAGUAUACAAAACACCUUGCUUGGUUGGGGAGCAGCAACAUCAAGGCUGUUGAACAAACAGCAAUAUCAAGACGUUGAACAAAUAGCAACAUCAGUUGCUGAUAGCGUACUGAGUUACUCACCAUGAACCGUCCUCAUUCUGUAACUUCUGAAUGAAUUCAGUCACUCACCUGAUGCAUUGUUCUACUUCAUCUUCUUGAUGCCCAGGGUGUUUCAGUACCACCGCUUGUAUGACCAACGAGGAACAAGCUAUGGUGGUGGCUGCCGAUUUGCCGCGUCAACAAGGUCUCGUUCCUCCCUGGUUUGCACAAGCUACGUCAGGCAACUGCAGACCCCGUACGACCAUGGCCCACACCCCUGAAGCUUCCCCUGUCCGCAACAACUUCUGGAUCAAAGGAUUGUUGCUUAAUCCCGGGCUGCUCUACCUUGAAGGAAAAGGGGUCCUCCUUGAGAUCAUAUAGAUGGCGCAAGGAAAAUGGUAAUAUGGUCAUUGUGGUGGGUGAGGGUGCUGGCCAAGAUCUCAUCGCCUAAAGCAUCAAUUUUGUGGACCUCACCAUCCCUUCCUUGGUUUGACAGAGGAGGAUGGAUCGAGGACCGUCCGUUGCGGAUUCGCCGCCUCACCUAUGUCGGUCUCGUGCGUGGCUGGGGUUCUUCGCCGAGCACCAACAUCGUCCAUGGAGCCGGCGAGCUCACACACCUGCACCUUCAAAAGCACCACGUUAGCUACUUGAACAUCAAGUGCUACGACGAGGUUGCUGGGCGCUAGCCGUGGCGUCCGACGCGUGUAAUGGUUGAAGGUUUUUUGGGUCAGUGCUCGUGCGACGCCGGCGCCAGUGGUACUGUACGGCCUCGGCUACAGUCGUUCUGGAUUGUUGCUUAAUCCCAGGGCUGCUCUACCUUGAAGGAAAAGGGGUCCUCCUUGAGAUCAUAUAGAUGGCGCAAGGACAAUGGUCAUAUGGUCGUUGUGGUGGCUGAGGAUGCUGGCCAAGAUCUCAUCGCGCAAAGCAUGAAGUUUGUGGACCUCACCAUCCCUUCCUCUGUUUGGCAGAGGAGGAUGGAUCCAGGACCGACCGUUGUGGAUUCGCCGCCUCACUAAUGUCGGUCUUGUGCUUGCGUGGGGUUCUUCUUCACCCAGUACCAACACCGUUGAUGGCAGUGAAAACCAGCUGCUACAUAUGCUGAUCAUUGGCCGGUUAGCUCACACAUUUGCACCUUCGGAAGCACCAGGUUAGCUACUACAACAUCAAGUUCUACGACGAGGUUGCUGGGCACUAGCCGUGGCUUCGGACGCGUUACAUGGUUGAAGGCUUUUUGGUUCCCAUGCCUGUGCGAUGCCGACGCCAGUGGUGCUGUACGGCCUCGGCUACAGCCAUUCUGGAACUAGCUAUGGCGGUGGCUGCGGAUUUGCCACUUCAACAAGGUUUCGUCCCUCCCUGGUUUGCACAAGCUCCGCCAGGCAGCUGCAGAUCCCGUACGACCACGGCCCGCACCCCGGAAGCUUCACCCGUCUGCAACAAUUUCUGGAUCAAAGGAUUGUUGCUUAAUCCCGGGCUGCUCUACCUUGAAGGAAAAGGGGUCCUCCUUGAGAUCAUAUAGAUGGCGCAAGGACAAUGGUCAUUGUGGUGGCUGAGGAUGCUGGCCAAGAUCUUAUCGUGUGAAGCAUGAAUUUUGUGGACCUCACCAUCCCUUCCUAGGUUUGGCUGCUGAUCGGGAACCAGCCAUUGGUGUACCUCAAUAAGGUCACAGGAGUCGCCGCCAAGCCUGAGUCCAUGGAGCCCUGCUCCGGCUUCAAGGAGAGGUGAGGAGAAGGGGUUCAUCGAGCCAGACAAGGUGCGCGGUGGUAGGCUCGGUCUCCAGCCUCAGCGUCUUCUGUUGGCCCCUUUGCCAUGUGGCACCAACGGUGCUGUUCAGAGUCGGCUACAAAACUGGCAUGGUGAGCUCCUCUCUUUCCUCUGCUCCUCGCCUCUUGUUGCUCUGAGCUUGUGCCCAUCGAGCCAUAGCUACGCCAUGCUAGGAUUUGGCCUCUAAUGGUCACUGUGGAUGGAUGCUAUGGUUCAUGUUAUGUGCUAGGUGAAGGAAAUAUGCCCUAGAGGCAAUAAUAAAGUAUUAUAUAUUUCCUUAUAUCAUGAUAAAUGUUUAUUAUUCAUGCUAGA